UACGUAGGGUGCAAGCGUUAAUCGGAAUUACUGGGCGUAAAGCGUGCGCAGGCGGUGAUGUAAGACAGUUGUGAAAUCCCCAGGCUCAACCUGGGAACUGCAUCUGUGACUGCAUCGCUGGAGUACGGUAGAGGGGGAUGGAAUUCCGCGUGUAGCAGUGAAAUGCGUAGAUAUGCGGAGGAACACCGAUGGCGAAGGCAAUCCCCUGGACCUGUACUGACGCUCAUGCACGAAAGCGUGGGGAGCAAACAGG
rnacentral:rRNA from 1 species